rnacentral:rRNA from 1 species
GACGAACGCUGGCGGCGUGCUUAACACAUGCAAGUCGAACGGAAAGACCCUGCGUUUGUUGGUUUCUCGAUUGCCGAAGGGGGGAGUAACACAUGAGUAUCCUCCCCUUAUCUUUGUGGGAUCUUCACGAAACUGGGGCGAUUACCCGGUAGGAUCUCCUGCUGCGUGUUGUUCGUUGGAAAGUGUCGGCGGUUGUGGCUGGACUCGCGGGUUAUCAGCUUGUUUGUGUGGUAGUUGCUUACCAGGGCUUUGACGGGUAGCCCGCCUGGGAGGGUGACCGGCCACAUUGCGACUGCGAUACGGACCAGAAUCCUACGGGAGGCAGUAGUGGGGAAUAUUGCACAAUGGGGGGAAGCCUGAUGUAGAAAUGCCGCGUGCGGGAUGACGGGCUACGAGUUGUAAACAGAUUUCGAAUGUGAUGAAGAGUGAGUGACGGUAAUGGGUAAAGAAGCACCGGCUAACUACGUG